AGAGUUUGAUCAUGGCUAACGAACGCUGGCGGCGUGCCUAACACAUGCAAGUCGAACGCGAAAGGGGGCAACCCCCGGUAGCGUGGCAGACGGGUGAGUAACACGUGGGUAACCUACCCGGAGGUGGGGGAUAACCCUUCGAAAGGAGGGCUAAUACCGCAUGACACCGCAGGGACUUCGGUCCUUGCGAUCAAAGCUGGCCUCUGUUUACAAGCUAGCGCCACCGGAUGGGCCCGCGCCCCAUUAGCUAGUUGGUGAGGUAACGGCUCACCAAGGCGACGAUGGGUAGCCGGCCUGAGAGGGCGAUCGGCCACACUGGAACUGCGACACGGUCCAGACUCCUACGGGAGGCAGCAGUGAGGAAUAUUGCGCAAUGGGCGAAAGCCUGACGCAGCGACGCCGCGUGGAGGAUGAAGGUCUUCGGAUUGUAAACUCCUGUCGAGUGGGACGAAUGCCGUGAGGGUGAACAAUCCUUACGGUUGACGGUACCGCUGGAGGAAGCCCCGGCUAACUCCGUGCCAGCAGCCGCGGUA
rnacentral:rRNA from 1 species